GUCAGACGUCUGCUCUACCGAUAUCUUAAACCAACUUGGUGCAGACAGUGUGACUAGGUUAAGAAGGCUGGCUGAAGCUCUGCCCAAACAAUCUGUGGAUGGAAAGGCACCACUUGCUACCGGAAAGGAUGAUGAUGAUAAAGUUCCAGAUCUUGUGGAGAAUUUUGAUGAAGCUUCCAAGAAUGAAGCACACUGAAUUGAGUCAAUUUCUGAAGAAGAUAAAACCUGAAGAAGUUACUGGGAGCUUCUAUUUUAUAUUAUCACUGCUUUUUAAAUAUGUUGUUCGUGGAUCUGAUAAAAUCUAGAUCUCUAAUAUUUUUAAGCUCAAACCCCCUGGACACUGCAGCUCUUUUCAGUUUUUGCUUAUACACAAUUCAUUCGUUGUAGCUAAUUAAGCUGAAGAAGCCUGGGAAUAAAGUUUGAAACAAGAUUAAUAAAGUUCUUUGCCUAGU